rnacentral:rRNA from 1 species
UACGAAGGGGGCUAGCGUUGUUCGGAAUUACUGGGCGUAAAGCGCACGUAGGCGGAUUGUUAAGUCAGAGGUGAAAUCCCGGAGCUCAACUUCGGAACUGCCUUUGAUACUGGCAAUCUAGAGUCCGGAAGAGGUUAGUGGAAUUCCCAGUGUAGAGGUGAAAUUCGUAGAUAUUGGGAAGAACACCAGUGGCGAAGGCGGCUAACUGGUCCGGUACUGACGCUGAUGCGCGAAAGCGUGGGUAGCAAACAGG